AGGGUUUGAUCAUGGCUCAGGACGAACGCUGGCGGUGCGCCUUAUGCAUACAAGUUGAGCGAAGCUUUUUUGUAGUUUACUACGAAAAAUGACUGAGCGGCGAACGGGUGAGUAACGCGUGAGCAAUCUACCUUAGUUACUGGGAUAGCCCGAGGAAACUCGGAUUAAUACCGGAUAUUCUUAUUUUUUCACAUGAAGUUUUAAGGAAAGGUCAGCCGAACUAAGAUGAGCUCGCGUUCUAUCAGCUAGUUGGUGGGGUAAAAGCCUACCAAGGCUACGACGGAUAGCUGGUCUGAGAGGACGAUCAGCCACACUGGGACUGAGACACGGCCCAGACUCCUACGGGAGGCUGCAGCAGGGAAUAUUGUGCAAUGAGCGAAAGCUUGACACAGCGACACCGCGUGUGGGAUGACGGUUCUAGGAUUGUAAACCACUUUCAGGAGGGAAGAAAAUGACGGUACCUCCACAAGAAGACCCGGCCAACUAUGUGCCAGCAGCCGCGGUAAUAC
rnacentral:rRNA from 1 species